UCGAAUCCUUAAAGGAUGUUGCUGGCCUUUUUAGGCAUGUGCACUCCGCCUUAUUAUCCACCUGUGAACCUAUUGUAGGCCUAUAGAUGUAAAAGUUUAUGGGUCUAUGUUUUUCAUACACACACACACACCUUAUAGAAUGUAGACCUUGUUUGGUCGAAAAUAUAAUUAAUA
rnacentral:misc_RNA from 1 species